rnacentral:snRNA from 1 species
AAAGAAAAGGUGGCAGGGAAGAAACUGACAUUGAAGGUAGUGUUCCCAAGGCAAGGCUUACCCAUUGCAUUUUGGAUGUAUGGGCCCCUGCAAUUUCCCCAAUUUAUGUUAGUAGGAAACUAUGUUCAUGUUCUUCCCUA